UUACUCCUACGGGAGGCAGCAGUAGGGAAUCUUCCACAAUGGGCGAAAGCCUGAUGGAGCAACGCCGCGUGUGUGAUGAAGGGUUUCGGCUCGUAAAACACUGUUGUAAGAGAAGAAUGACAUUGAGAGUAACUGUUCAAUGUGUGACGGUAUCUUACCAGAAAGGAACGGCUAAAUACGUGCCAGCAGCCGCGGUAAUAA
rnacentral:rRNA from 1 species